GCAGGCUGCUCUGAAAAGGUGGGA
rnacentral:piRNA from 1 species